CGGGCCUCUCACUGUUGUGGCCUCUCCCGUUGCAGAGCACAGGCUCCAGACGCGCAGGCUCAGCGGCCAUGGCUCAUGGGCCCAGCCGCUCCGCGGCAUGUGGGAUCUUCCCGGACCGGGGCACGAACCCGCAUCCCCUGCAUCGGCAGGCGGACUCUCAACCACUGCACCACCAGGGAAGUCCCACUCAGCAUCUUUUUGCUUGAUUUGUGACCCAAGUAUGAUCUAUCCUGGAGAAUGUUCCAUGAGCACUUGAGAAGAGACAUCAAUAUCUUUCCUUCUAGAAAAUAUCUCCCAGAUAGAAGUGGAUUUCCAGAGCUAAAUGAAUAAUACAACCAAAAGUACCUGCUGACUGAACAUAAGAAAUAUCCCUGAAUCCAAAGGGCAGCUUAGAUAGAGAAGUGAAAUGAAGCUCAACUGAAGGCAGAAAUGGAACAAAUGCUCAUCUGAGGCACCAGGGAUGGAUUAACACAAGAGAUGCCUGGAGAUGGGAGGAUGAAGAAAAUGUAUGACGCUGCCCUACUCAAAGCUGCUGAGAAAACAUCACAGUAAUGCCCGUCCUUGCCUGUGACCUGUUUUAGCCUCAGCUUCUCUUUGGAUACAAAGGUAUUUCUUCAAGGAUUUUACACAACCUUGGCUAUUCCGGGCUGUGUAUUUGAAGCCUUGUUCAUUAUCACAAUCUUCUUUUAAUGCCAAAUGAAAACCAUUUUUAUGAUCAGAUAGAUGAACUUCUAAGGUCAGCAUCCCCGUCUCAAUUACUGAUGUUUCCAAAAUAUACAAGUGAUUCUUUAGUUUUAUAAACCUCCACCUGCUUCUUCCUUUCAUGUAAUUCACCUCUGUUCAGUUAUUUUGCGCCACCCCUGCAGUGUUUUCAAAUAUAUUUCAAAUCCCCCAAGCAAACCUAUUUCAGUUGAUUGGCUUCAGAGAACUCUAAUGCUGGCCAGGCAUUUUGCUGCAACCCCAUUUAGACUCAGCAGGAAGAGAAGAUUUAAAAGGCAGAUUACGUUUUUAGCUUUUUAAAACCUGCUUUAUUAGAGAGGCUAAAAGCCACAGUGGUGGUAAGCUGAAUUCUUUUGAAAUACAAGCAACUUCAAGACAUCUAGCGAGCAGUUCCUCGCCUGUGGGGCUCCUCCCUUUGGGUUUCAAUGAUGGCAGGGACCAGCUGGCUCCAGGCAUUAUUCUUAAGGGUCUUUGUGGGUCCAACAACAGAGUCCAUAAAAGCACCAAAGAGGUUUCAUUUAAGGGUCAGAGGUCUUUUAAAAGCAGCUCACCGAGAUUCCCACCCCUGGACUUCUAGUGGGCCAUUUUGUGUGAAAGGUUUGGUUAGGUACUGGCCUCCAUUAAUUGUAGAGGUUGGCCAAGGGACAGUAGAUAGAGAGCCAUGGUGAGGAUGUGAAAAGCCACUUAGAGAAGAAGAGAGAAUACCUGCAGGCCAGAGUCCUAUGGCAGGCAGCUAGGAGUCUAAAUGGAUGGGUAGAUAGAUAGGUAGAUAGAUAGAUAGAUAGAUAGAUAGAUAGAUAGAUAGAUAGAUAGAUAGAAACCAUAGCACAUAUCAUCUUAAAACAAGUUAUCAGUGCUUUCUCUUUCACUUAUUUGGAGCUCUGUUUGAAUUAUACCAGGAGCUGCUUGUAAAGUGGCUGAGGGCCUAUGAAAGGAGGUGGGAAUAAUGAAAUUUCAAGAGAGUCAAUGAGAUUCCAUAAGGUUUUGUUUAGAGGUUUUGAGAUGAGAUGAACACUACUGGGUUUCAAGAAUGUUUAUGGAGAGAGUGCACUGAGAAGCAGCCUGGGUCCUGUUUAAAGGCAAGAUACAGGCUUAAACCAGAGAUGUAGCUAAUCAGAGAGGACAAAUACAUGGCAUCUGUGCUGCCACCCACUCCCUCUGUGGCCAAAGAGAAUAUCAACAACUAAUCGUAACUCCUGUGCCAAGCCCAGCCGGCCUUAGAAUCCUUCUUAGCAGGCUGCUGCAGUCCUGGAUUAGACUGCGGAUACUCCUAAAAAUGUCUAUGGAUAAGUUUAGAACCCAACACAAGUUUCCGUGGGUGGGGCAAAGAGGUGACAGAACUGAGUAGAGCCAGCACAAUGGUGACUAUCAGGGUGUCCUGUGGAGGCUCCAUGUGAGCAGGGGCAGCAGGUAUUCAGCUUCAGAUGUUACCCCACAGGAAUCUGGGACCCGUGUGACCAGAUUUUUCAAGAGUAAAUAGAAAUCCGAUUUUGACUUGGAAUCUCUUGAUUUUUGAAUGUUGGAUCCAAAAAGAGAGGGGAAAAUGAGUGCUGUGUGGGCCAAACCGAAUACAUGUGCAGAAAAAAAUAAAAUUAAAAUACACCAAUGGGCUAGCAUAGCUUCCAGGCUUAGAGGAACUGAAGGAAGGUUCCAGUUUGCUCUUAUCUUGCCUGAAUUACCUUGUUACCAUUCGCAGCUUAAAAACAAAAGAAAACCAUCUCACCAGGGCUUGAAGAGGGCAUGUGACAAAUUGCAGAAAAUUAUAGCCAGCACUUUGUGGUUGCUGAGCUCCCCCAGGUUGCACACUAGCAGAGUCCUGAAAAAGUAGGCAAACUUCAAAGAUCAAACUUUCCACGGCUUCAGAAGGGACCUUUCAACCAGCUUGCUUUUGUCCAGAUCCUCCCUUACCCCAACGCUUUUUUUUCAAUCACAAAGCAGUUGUCUCAAAGCUCAGAUUCUGAUAUUGUCAGAGGCUAAUGACAAUGUCAGAGGCAUUUGCUCGUUGCUUAUUUCAGUAUUCCAGCCCUCUCAGUCUUGGUCUCCCUUUGGGCUGUUUACAUACAAUUUCCUUCUGGGUGGAACUUUGUUUUUCCUUUCCUUCUUUUGAGGCUGUUGUUUUUUCUUAAAAUAGGAGGUCAUUUCAGGCAGAAAUGUGUUUUCGUCUCCUUGCUUCCUCUAUGGCUGGGACUGGGGCCCUUUUGGAAAGAAGGAAAUUUCCACUUUGUUUACAAGGAGGGAUUGGUUUUCUUUGGAUAUCCCAUUAAUUUGCUGGGUAGGGAGUUUGGAGUUCCUAGCAUUAUCUAAGGAGAUCAGGAAAGUUAUUUUAAAGGCAUUUCUUUGAUUUUUUUUUUUUAAUGUUAUACACUCUGCUUUGCUUAUUCUUUUUCUCAAACCAGUUCAUGUUUUUCCAAUGAAUCUAAGCUUCCCAUGUGUCUGUCCCUGCAUUUCAGCUCUCUACAUUGUCUUCCCAAGAUCUUUAAGCUUUAGUUGUCAAUCUGGAUAAUUUGACCAGCAUUCUGGAACAAUUCCAGCAUGAGUCAUAGUUUUAUACUCUGGGUUGGAAAAGUAAUUUUCCCUUUCCCUUCAAAAUGCAGCCAUGACCCAUUACUGUUACUGGAAAAGACAGACUUGAUCAUGCAUACCUUUCUUCACCCCAUCCUCGCAUCUUCACAGGGUACAUCUGUCAAGCAAUCCAUCGCCCACGUCAAAUAAUGUAAAUAUGCACCCAAGUGGGUGUUCUAGGUACCAUUGAGAGUUUAACCUGGACCUCUGGAAGAAUACAUUCUAAGACAGAACAUUAACUGAAAAAAAUUUUCCAAGCAUCCCAAAGCCAAACAGAAUAAAAUUGCUCUAGGUGAGGCUUGUGAUGACUUUAGUAGGUUUGAUGCAAAAGAAAUAUUAAUUUUAAAAUAAUUUAUUCAAGGCCACUCCCAAUAUGUGAUUUAUUUAAAUGACCAUGUUCACUAACAAAUAAUGCCCCAAAACCUCAUUAAGUGCAGUCAAACUAUCAGAUCUCAAUUUUGAUUUUUCAGUGCCAUUCCAUUUCAUAAAUGCUUUGUUUAUUCUAACCCUGAGAACAAAGGUAAAUAACGAAAAAUAGGAUAGGUGAUAAGAAGGAUUGAGAUCAGGAAAUAUGUGACCAAAGUGGCUAAGGAUGGAGGUUAGGACCAUGGAUUUGGAGCCAGACAGGUGUGGGAUGGGUUCUCAGCCACAUUGGUACUAGCUAAGUGGCCUUAGGCAAGUUACUCAUUUCAUCUAUUUAAUUUUCUCGUCUGUAAAAUAAAGAUAAUAAUAGUACCUGCUUCACAGAGUUGUUGUGGAUUAGUAUGUUAAAGACAUAGUUAAGUGCUCACCACCAACAACGCAGAAAUAAUUCUAAUGUUUAUAGGGCACUUACUAUGCAUCAGGUACUGCCUUUACUUGAAUAACUCUAUGAAGUAGGUAUUAUUAUUAUUAUCUUAAUUUUACAGAUGAGAACAUUAGGGACCCAGAGAAGUUAAGUAACUUAUCCAGAGCCACAGAGCUACUAAGUAACCAAGCCAGGAUUCCAACCCAAGUGGACUGGCUUUGAGCCUAAGCCCUUAACCACUAUGUAGAUUUUAUUAUUAACGUCUUUUUAAUUUGUAAUGAGUCUUCAUUAUUCUAAGUGAUGUUCUAAAGGUUAUUUCUUCGUUAAUUCAAUUUCUUACGUUGCCUGUGACUGUAUAUAUAGUGUUGUACACUGAACAGAGAAGUUCAAAGUGUCAAUUCUGUUCUCCAAAAUAUAAUAAUAAUCUCUCUCUCUCUCUCCCCACCCCCUGCCUUCAUACGCACACAAGCACACACACAUAUACACGCAGAGAUUUGGUUAUCCUCAUUGGGCUCUACUUCCUAAAUCAGAGAAGUAAAUGAUGUAUUUCAAAAAUAUUGUCUCCAGUAUAAAAAAAGAAAGGGGUUUCUAAUGCAUUUUUGCCUUUUAGUUAACCAGGAAUAAGUUAUUUAAAACCUCUUAAUCCUCUUAGCAUUCUGGUUAACAGAGAUUUUUCUGUACAACAAAAUAAAUACAUAUGUCUGAUAUUAUAGAGUCAAAUAGCUUCAAUUCCAAAAGGUACAAACUGCUCUAAUUUUUAGUUUUUAGAGAAGCGAAUAUUUUAAAGUAAAUUGUUGGCGAAAGUCCAAUUUUCAUUGUUCUGAGCAAUGAAAUUUGAAGAAUUGGAAGGAGUGGUAAAGUAUGACAUCAGAAACAGAUAUAUGAAAAAAGGCCAGAAGUUUGUCCCAGUAACAUAUUCUAAUAAUCAAGAAAUUAAACAUCACAGGAUGUGUUUGCAUAUGUACAACAAUAUGCUGUCCUCGAAUAAAGCUUACAUUUUACUUUACCACGUGUGACCUCAUUUGAUUUCUAUAGGAGAAAUAAUAUUUAAUAUUAGGUGAGAAGAGAGUAGAAAUAGUACCAAUUCAUUUUAUGUAGGAGGAAACUGAGGCUCAGAGAUCCAGUUGCUUGACCUAGGUCACACAGCUGGUUACUUGCAAAGCCAAGACUUAUCAUUUCCUGCUAUUUCUGCUAAAUCACAAUUCCCACUGGCACUUUUGCUGAACUUAAUUUGACAGUUUAUACUAAGACCAGGAUGGCUGUUCCCAAGGUGUGGGAACCAGGAAUAAUUUCUGUGUAGAAAAGUCCAGAAAAAGAGAUGGUAUAAUGCAUAUGGGUACACCACUCCCAAACCAGUUCAGAAGGCCCAAGGCAGUGUUGGAAGAAAAGAGGUCACUGGCAGGAGAGAGAGACAUAAUGAAGGGCAAGUGUUCCAAUUUUCCCACAUCUGGCUAUGCUCAUCCCACAUUUUAUUUUGUUUUAAAACUACUGUCUCUCCAGUCAAACUGCAGGGAUUGAAUCCUGGCUCCACUAUUCACUAACCUCUUUUUGCCUCAUUUCUUUGUUGGUAGAAUAGGAUCCAUAAUAGUACUGCUUUUGUGGGGUUCAUGUGAGAAUUCAACAGGAAAGCUUAUGUAGAAGAUUUAGCAUUGUAACUGAUGUGUGGUGAGUACUGAAAGAACACCAACAAUUGUCAUCAUAAUUAUUUCAUGCAGAGGUAUAAAUGGAGGAGCCAGAAUUUGAACCUAGUCAGCCAAACUCCAGAGACCAUUUUCUUAACCACAGUCCUAUACCACCUUUGUACUUGCUCUGUCCUUCCGUCUGGAAAGCACUUUUCCUAGGUACAUAUCGACGUGGCUCCCUUCCUUUCUCCACUCAGGCCCCUGCUCAAAUGUCACUUCCUCUGAAUGACCUUUCCUGGCUGCCUGAUCUAAAACAGUGCCCCUUGUGACUCUCUAUGCCUUUAAUCUGCUUCAUUUUUUUUUAUCACACUCAUAGCAACCUGAUACAAGAUUGAAUAUUAAUUUGAUUGUUCAUGGAAGGCUUUCUCCACCAUUAGAAAGCAAACUCCAUGAAGGUAGGGAGCUUGGUUUGGCUCACAUCCGUAACCUUAUUGCCUAGAAUAUGUCCAAUUAUUUGUUGCAUACAUGUAUACAUUAAUAAGGAAAACACUCAUUAGCAGCAGCAGCUAACACAUUGAAACACUAUCAACAGAUGAACCAAAAUAUGGGUAAGAUCUGGUUUCUACUCUUAAGGGACUUGCACUUCAGCUGGGAAGGGGCUGUGGAAAGGUGGACAGAAACACGCCCAGCCACUAUAAUAGGGCAUGCCAGGCUGGUGAGUGCUGCCAGACCUCUGGGCACUUAUAUCCUGAGUCUUAUCUUCUUGCUAAGGUGCUGACUUCUCCACCAAGUCAGUCUGAUAGUCUAACCUUCCCAAAUGAAAAGUUCUGGAAGCAAAUCUCAUAAAAUCAAAUGAGAUAAUUUCGGAAAGCCAUUUCAGAAGAGUUUAAGUGCUCAACCCCAUUGUCUCUAUGAAAUCAGACAUAUCAUUCUCUUGGAGGUGACAUUCCCCAGAGAGCUGCAGAUAAGGUACGUUGAAGUCUACUCAAAAUACAUUUCUUCUCGGUCUAAUCUACCCCCAAGAGUAAACUGGGGAAGUGGAUACUUUACAGUUGCUAAAGGUCCUGGGAGAGUGAAAAACAAAAUAGGCACUCAGCCUCAUUCAGCCCAAACUACUGGACCUUGUCUCCCGUGUGUGAGUCAUUAAUCAAUCCCAUUAAGUUCUAAUCCUUUGCCAAGCUAAGAAAACACAAUCCAAACAGUAGCAAACAUUUCCUCCCCUUGCCACUUACCCCUAAAUAGGAAGAGCAGCCUUCUAAAAACUUCAGUCUUCCUGAGAUAAGCAGGUCUGCAAAAUGUCCGUAGGAUUUUCCGGAGAGAAUAUGUGCCACAUUCGAUGAAGUGAGAGAACACUGCUUGAUUCUGACCACUCACACUCAAAAGUAUUUCCAUAGCCCAGAUAAAGCAAUGCAGAGCUACACAGGAUGACAUGACUAAAAUAAAACAAAUCAUUUAAAGCAUGAUUUCCCGCUGAGUGGUAUUGUUAGCCGUCCCAUGGUGGAUAACUGUUAGCUAACACAGAACAGACCCCAGGCUCUUGAAUAGCAAAUCCUUUUAUAUGACAAAUGACACUGUGUUGAUGAAUGGUGACCACAGGAAAACAGCAUGAUAUAAUGGAAGACUACACUGUAAAAAAAAAAAAAAAAAAACGACUACACUGUACUUCAUCAGAGAAGAUCACCUUGAUCAGGUGUGAUGGACCAAAGGGAUAAAUAGCCACUGGGACAGUCAAAUCCACACUCCCAAGCCAGGGCAUAGCAGGGGCCUGAUGUGGUUUAUUUAAAGGGCAACACAACACAAUGGAACAUGAUUGGUCAAGGGUCUGGUAUAUGCAACGUUAAGGGUUAGGGGUUAAAGAGAUAAAGAUGAACACAACACAUGCCUGCUAUUAAGGAAGACGAAAGUACUAACUUAAAACCUUAUUUAAUUUGGUUUUUAUAAGAAUCUAGUAGGGUAGACAGAGCAGUUCUAUAAACCCCAUUUACAGAUAAUGAACCUAAGGCUCAAAGUGAUAAGUGAUGUGAUCAAGUCUUACCCUGAGUGAGGUCUGGAGCUGGGACUUGGCUCUGAGUCCUGGGCUCUUACUACUAAAUCACCCUGCAUCUGGCUCCAUCUUUAGACAACUGGAAAAAAGGAAGCCUUCCUUCAAACCUAAUCCUGAGGUAUGUUAGAAUUUGACAGCUCUAAACUUUUAACCACUUCAAUACAUCAUUGCAAAGAUUAAUAACUUUCUUUCAUAAAACUGUAGUAUACUCACCUGAUCAAAAUAGCCAGAUGAUCUCAAAACAGAAGCUCUGGGCUUCCCUGGUGGCGCAGUGUUUAAGAAUCUGCCUGCCAAUGCAGGGGACACAGGUUUGAGCCCUGGCCCGGGAAGAUCCCACAUGCCGCGGAGCAACUAAGCCCAUGAGCCACACCUACUGAGCUUGCACUCUAGAGCCUGUGAGCCACAACUACUGAGCCCGAGUGCCACAACUACUGAAGCUCGCGUGCCUAGAGCCUGAGCUCUGUAACAAGAGAAGCCACCCAAUGAGAAGCCCACGCACCGCAAGGAAGAGUAGCCCCCGCUCGCUGCAACUAGAGAAAAGCCUGCACGCAGCAAUAAAGACCCAAGGCAGCCAAAAAUAAAAAUAAAUUUAAAAAAACAAAAACAAAACAAAAAAAACAAGCAAACAAACAGAAGCUCUGCUUGCAUUCACAGUACAGUUCAGGAUCCAAGGAUGGCAGGCUGGAUCCAAGGUGCCAGGGAGAUCAGAGGGUUCCUGCCCUGGGUUGGAUCCUAAAGAGUUUUAAGUGGCCCAGAAUUAGUACGUUUACUCUCUAUGGUUUAUAGUUGCAUCUGUCUUUCACCUCCUUUACCUAGAUUCCUUUCAGUGAGCUUUUACUGCACUUUUGGUUCAAAUGCCAUUUCCUGACAUCUUUGUUCAUCAGAAGGUGUUGUGCCUUCAUCAUUGUGAUCAUAGUGGCACUUUUAUCUUUACUUCUAUUUCUAGUGAAACAAUGUUUUCUACCCUGUAUUACUGUUAGUUAUGUAUAUUUUUAUGUCACCUCUGAACAUAAAAGUCCUUGAAAACAGUAUCUGUAAUCGAAUAUUAUGUCUUAACUAACCAGCACAGAGUCUUGAAUUUGGUACGUAUCCAGUAUGUUGAAUAAAUGAAUGAAUCCUUCUCUGGUUUCCACUCACCCCUAUAUCUUCUUCCAAGGACUUCUGCCUGACUUGAGUCCAGUCUUAUCUAUAGAAGGUCUCUUUUUACUAGUUGUCCUUUUGAUUUCUCCAGCUCCAUGAUAUUUGUUUAUUUUAAGCAUUUCUUGAGCCCAUCUUGAGGAAAAGUUUAUAAAAUUUCCAAUUCUUUCAAAAUGUUACUGAUGAUCCAAUCAAACCAGGAUUGUCAUGAGUAAAGAAAAAUUGCCUAUCAGUAUUUGAAGCAGAUGCUUUUCCCCAGAGCCUUGAAAUGCCCCAGUGAGCAAAGGCUUUAGAUUUCCCUCAGUCCUGAAUCUUUGGAUCUACUGGAAAAUUAGGAAUUCCUGGCAAAAUACAACAUAAGGAGAGAGAUGGGAGUUGGGAGAGAUAGUAGAUCACGUAAUUCAAUUUCAUCAUUUUACAUAUGAAAAAUAGAAGUCCAAAAUGGUCACGUAAUGUAUCCAAACUUACCCACCUCCUUAGUGAAAGGCCCAGAACUAAAACCCAGUUGUCCUACCCACUGGUCCUCUGGGGUAUUUUUUUUUUUAAUCUACCAUCUCAUACUAAUAUUUUAUUUCCUGUUUUUAUUGGAUUGGCUUGAAUCCUUGAAUCCUCCUCCUGUUCUCAUGCCUGUCCAAAGCACUAGGCCACUGAACUAACAGCCCAGUCCUCAUGGCUCCAAGAAGCCCCAUCUAGUGAGAAGGCACUCAUCUCACCCCUUUGAGCAGUACCAUUUUCCCUACUUAGACAGGAGAUCCCUAUUUUAAUCUGUCUGCCUGGAGUCCUACAAUAACUAGCAGAGCUAAGAAAUCAUGCCCAGACUUAUGUUGGCCAGGUAGAAACUACUCUACAACCUGUGGGUCAGGUAACAUUACACUCACUCUGGCAUACCUUGAUUUAAGAAUCAAAUAGUUCUAUCAGAGUCCUUUGUGAUUAUAUUACCAUCUUAGCUACCUCAUUUUUCUAGUCCUACCAUCUAUUUUGUAAUAGAAAUAUGCCUUUCUCAUAUGUAGUUUUAUAUUUAUUCACUUUGAGAUGUGAUUAUUUUGUGGAAUAUUACUUGAAUUUAAAAGAAAAACCUAUUUAUGUAAAAAGGAUGAAUUUAUCAAAUUCAAUAUAUUAGAGCAAGCUCUGAUCAAAAGAGCCCUAGAUCUGAAAUCAGAAGACUGGAGUUAAAUUCCAGCCCCUCACCAGCUCUGUGACUUUUGUCAAUGACUGAACCUCUCUCAGCCCCAGUGUGCCCAUUUGUAGAAUGGAGCAAAUAAUCCAAUGGCAUAGAGUCUGGGAAGUUGAGUGAAAAGUCAUUCAAUGGGUCAGGUGUGCUGCCUGUUAUGGUACAUAGGCUCUCACUACAUUUUGACUGAAUCUGAAAAUGCAUGAUUUUCAGGAACAUAAGAGCAAUUUAUCGGUUUCUUUCACUGUUGCUCUGGUUUCUCUCUUCAUCAGCACUUUCCAUAGUGUUUUAAAAAUCAAAUUUAAAUGAAAUGGAAAGAUAUCAUGGUGCAUAUUACCAAAAAACUUAUUACAUAUGUACCUCUUAAGAGCUUAGUAAAGUAUUCAAGAGAAAUAGAUUAAAUAGUUGUUAAAUUCAGGCAGGACUUCCCUGGUGGCAGAGUGGUUAAGAAUCCGCCAGCCAAUGCAGGGAACACGGGUUCGAUCCCUGGUCCGGGAAGAUCCCACACGCCACAGAGCAACUAAGCCUGUGCGCCACAACUACUGAGCCUGCGCUCUAGAGCCCUCGAGCCACAACUACUGAAGUUCGUGUGCCCUAGAGCCCACAUGUCACAACUACUGAGCCUGCAUGCUGCAACUACUGAAGCUGGCAUGCCUAUAGCCCACGCUCCGCAACAGGAGAAGCCACCACAUUGAGAAGCCUGUGCAUCACAACAAAGAGUAGCUCCUGCUCGCCGCAACUAGUUUGGACAUCAUUCAGAGAAAAACAUUAAACAGUGUGAAUACAAAAUCUUUCAGAGUGUAUUAGAAAAUAAAAAAUCUA